GAUGAAGAACGUAGUGAAAUGCGAUAAGUAAUGUGAAUUGCAGAAUUCAGUGAAUCAUCGAAUCUUUGAACGCACCUUGCACUCCUUGGUAUUCCGAGGAGUACGCCUGUUCGAGUGUUAUGAAGCUCUCAAAACGCAAUUGGCUUAAAACCUGAUUGUUGUUUUGGAUUUGAACUUUGCCGUGUUAUAACGGCUGGUUUUAAAAGUAUUAGCUGGUACUAGAACGAAUUGGUUCUACUCAACGUGAUAAUUAUCUGAUCGUUGAGGACAUUCCUUUCACGAGGAAUGGCCAUAGUAAAUUCAAUGGACUGCUUCUAAUCUGGCUUUAAUUCUUUAUUGGAUUAACCACUUUUCAAAUCUGACCUCGAUUCAGGUGGGACUACCCGCUGAACUUAAGCAUAUCAAUAAGCGGAGGA
rnacentral:misc_RNA from 1 species